UCACUGUGGGAAACGUUCGGUGGAGGAACCAGACUGGAUGUUGGAAGUGAUGUCCGUCCCACCCUGACGGUGCUGCCACCCUCCAGUGAGGAGCUGCAGCAGGGGAAGGCCAAGAGGAGGAGGAAGAGGAGGAGUCCUGCUCAUCUUGUGUCCUUCACAGUAGCAUCCAUAAUUUGGACCUUCAGAAAUUAGAACAGGUUGCAACAAUCUAAUGGUUAUUUCUGCAGUACAGUGUAAAAAAUAUUCAUUUUUGGCAAUAAAGGAAAAAAUUAUACUUUUGGUUUA